rnacentral:misc_RNA from 1 species
AAGUCGUAACAAGGUUUCCGUAGGUGAACCUGCGGAAGGAUCAUUAUCGGGAGUGCCCUCGUGGCUUAACCUGCAACCCAAUGUUUUAAAACCUUUGUUUCUUUGGCGGGCUUGCCCGUCAGAAGAAUUCUCAAACUCAUUAUCAAUGUGUCUUCUGAAUAACUAUUUAAUAAAAUUAAAA